UACAGAGGGUGCAAGCGUUGUUCGGAAUUAUUGGGCGUAAAGGGUGCGUAGGCGGUGCGGUAAGUCUCUUGUGAAAUCUCCAGGCUCAACCUGGAGCCUGCAAGGGAAACUGCCGUGCUUGAGUGUGGGAGAGGUGAGUGGAAUUCCCGGUGUAGCGGUGAAAUGCGUAGAUAUCCGGAGGAACACCAGUGGUGCAGACGGCGCCCUGGGUCCGAACUGACGCUGAAGCACGGAAGCGUGGGGAGCGAACGGG
rnacentral:rRNA from 1 species